rnacentral:rRNA from 1 species
GGUUAAGUUACAAAGAGCGCACGGUGGAUGCCUUGGCACUAGGAGCCGAUGAAGGACGGGACGAACACCGAUAUGCUUCGGGGAGCUGUAAGUACGCUGUGAUCCGGAGAUUUCCGAAUGGGGGAACCCCCUGCCCUGAACGGGCAGGAUCCUUACCUGAAUCCAUAGGGUAAGGAGGGCAGACCCGGGGAACUGAAACAUCUAAGUACCCGGAGGAAGAGAAAGCAAACGCGAUUCCCUGAGUAGUGGCGAGCGAAACGGGAACAGCCCAAACCAAGAGGCUUGCCUCUUGGGGUUGUAGGACACUCAUCCCGGAAGGGACGUCGUAGACGAAGCGGUCUGGAAAGGCCGGCCAGAGAAGGUAACAGCCCUGUAGUCGAAACGAUGGCCCGACCCGAGUGGAUCCUGAGUACGGCGGGACACGAGAAACCCCGUCGGAAGCUGGGAGGACCAUCUCCCAAGGCUAAAUACUCCCUAGUGACCGAUAGUGAACCAGUACCGUGAGGGAAAGGUGAAAAGCACCCCGGGAGGGGAGUGAAAGAGAACCUGAAACCGUGUGCUUACAAGUAGUCGGAGCCCCACCCCACCCACAAAAGCAGGCUUUUGCGGGGACCCGGGGGCGGGUGACGGCGUACCUUUUGUAGAAUGGACCGGCGAGUUACGAUCAUAGGCAAGGUUAAGUCGGAGAGACGGAGCCGCAGCGAAAGCGAGUCUGAAUAGGGCGCAUGAGUUUAUGGUCGUAGACCCGAAACCGUGUGAUCUACCCAUGUCCAGGGUGAAGUUCAGGUAACACUGAAUGGAGGCCCGAACCCACGUCUGUUGAAAAAGGCGGGGAUGAGGUGUGGGUAGGGGUGAAAUGCCAAUCGAACACGGAGAUAGCUGGUUCUCCCCGAAAU